rnacentral:miRNA from 1 species
AACUCAACUGUUUGACAAUAGUCAUGCUUUAUAUAUUGUUUUAUAGAACAAUAUUAUCAAUAUAUAAAGCAUGACUAUUGUCAAACAGUUGAGUU